AUAAUCAUGGAGUAUAAUAAUUAAAUUUAAUAAAUUUAAUAUAACUAUUAAUAGAAUUAGGUUACUAAUAAAUUAAUAACAAUUAAUUUUAAAACCUAAAGGUAAACCUUUAUAUUAAUAAUGUUAUUUUUUAUUAUAUUUAUAAUAAGAAUAAUUAUUAAUAAUAAUAAACUAAGUGAACUGAAACAUCUAAGUAACUUAAGGAUAAGAAAUCAACAGAGAUAUUAUGAGUAUUGGUGAGAGAAAAUAAUAAAGGUCUAAUAAGUAUUAUGUGAAAAAAAUGUAAGAAAAUAGGAUAACAAAUUCUAAGACUAAAUACUAUUAAUAAGUAUAGUAAGUACCGUAAGGGAAAGUAUGAAAAUGAUUAUUUUAUAAGCAAUCAUGAAUAUAUUAUAUUAUAUUAAUGAUGUACCUUUUGUAUAAUGGGUCAGCAAGUAAUUAAUAUUAGUAAAACAAUAAGUUAUAAAUAAAUAGAAUAAUAUAUAUAUAUAUAAAAAUAUAUUAAAAUAUUUAAUUAAUAUUAAUUGACCCGAAAGCAAACGAUCUAACUAUGAUAAGAUGGAUAAACGAUCGAACAGGUUGAUGUUGCAAUAUCAUCUGAUUAAUUGUGGUUAGUAGUGAAAGACAAAUCUGGUUUGCAGAUAGCUGGUUUUCUAUGAAAUAUAUGUAAGUAUAGCCUUUAUAAAUAAUAAUUAUUAUAUAAUAUUAUAUUAAUAUUAUAUAAAGAAUGGUACAGCAAUUAAUAUAUAUUAGGGAACUAUUAAAGUUUUAUUAAUAAUAUUAAAUCUCGAAAUAUUUAAUUAUAUAUAAUAAAGAGUCAGAUUAUGUGCGAUAAGGUAAAUAAUCUAAAGGGAAACAGCCCAGAUUAAGAUAUAAAGUUCCUAAUAAAUAAUAAGUGAAAUAAAUAUUAAAAUAUUAUAAUAUAAUCAGUUAAUGGGUUUGACAAUAACCAUUUUUUAAUGAACAUGUAACAAUGCACUGAUUUAUAAUAAAUAAAAAAAAAUAAUAUUUAAAAUCAAAUAUAUAUAUAUUUGUUAAUAGAUAAUAUACGGAUCUUAAUAAUAAAAAUUAUUUAAUUCCUAAUAUGGAAUAUUAUAUUUUUAUAAUAAAAAUAUAAAUACUGAAUAUCUAAAUAUUAUUAUUACUUUUUUUUUUAAUAAUAAUAAUAUGGUAAUAGAACAUUUAAUGAUAAUAUAUAUUAGUUAUUAAUUAAUAUAUGUAUUAAUUAAAUAGAGAAUGCUGACAUGAGUAACGAAAAAAAGGUAUAAACCUUUUCACCUAAAACAUAAGGUUUAACUAUAAAAGUACGGCCCCUAAUUAAAUUAAUAAGAAUAUAAAUAUAUUUAAGAUGGGAUAAUCUAUAUUAAUAAAAAUUUAUCUUAAAAUAUAUAUAUUAUUAAUAAUUAUAUUAAUAAUAUAUAUAAUUAUAUUAUAUAUUUUUUUUUUAUAUAAUAUAAACUAAUAAAGAUCAGGAAAUAAUUAAUGUAUACCGUAAUGUAGACCGACUCAGGUAUGUAAGUAGAGAAUAUGAAGGUGAAUUAGAUAAUUAAAGGGAAGGAACUCGGCAAAGAUAGCUCAUAAGUUAGUCAAUAAAGAGUAAUAAGAACAAAGUUGUACAACUGUUUACUAAAAACACCGCACUUUGCAGAAACGAUAAGUUUAAGUAUAAGGUGUGAACUCUGCUCCAUGCUUAAUAUAUAAAUAAAAUUAUUUAACGAUAAUUUUAUUAAAUUUAGGUAAAUAGCAGCCUUAUUAUGAGGGUUAUAAUGUAGCGAAAUUCCUUGGCCUAUAAUUGAGGUCCCGCAUGAAUGACGUAAUGAUACAACAACUGUCUCCCCUUUAAGCUAAGUGAAAUUGAAAUCGUAGUGAAGAUGCUAUGUACCUUCAGCAAGACGGAAAGACCCUAUGCAGCUUUACUGUAAUUAGAUAGAUCGAAUUAUUGUUUAUUAUAUUCAGCAUAUUAAGUAAUCCUAUUAUUAGGUAAUCGUUUAGAUAUUAAUGAGAUACUUAUUAUAAUAUAAUGAUAAUUCUAAUCUUAUAAAUAAUUAUUAUUAUUAUUAUUAAUAAUAAUAAUAUGCUUUCAAGCAUAGUGAUAAAACAUAUUUAUAUGAUAAUCACUUUACUUAAUAGAUAUAAUUCUUAAGUAAUAUAUAAUAUAUAUUUUAUAUAUAUUAUAUAUAAUAUAAGAGACAAUCUCUAAUUGGUAGUUUUGAUGGGGCGUCAUUAUCAGCAAAAGUAUCUGAAUAAGUCCAUAAAUAAAUAUAUAAAAUUAUUGAAUAAAAAAAAAUAAUAUAUAUUAUAUAUAUUAAUUAUAAAUUGAAAUAUGUUUAUAUAAAUUUAUAUUUAUUGAAUAUAUUUUAGUAAUAGAUAAAAAUAUGUACAGUAAAAUUGUAAGGAAAACAAUAAUAACUUUCUCCUCUCUUGGUGGGGGUUCACACCUAUUUUUAAUAGGUGUUCACCCCUCUUCGGGGUUCCGGUUCCCUUUCGGGUCCCGGAACUUAAAUAAAAAUAAUUAUGGAAAGAAUUAAAUUAAUAUAAUGGUAUAACUGUGCGAUAAUUGUAACACAAACGAGUGAAACAAGUACGUAAGUAUGGCAUAAUGAACAAAUAACACUGAUUGUAAAGGUUAUUGAUAACGAAUAAAAGUUACGCUAGGGAUAACAGGGUAAUAUAACGAAAGAGUAGAUAUUGUAAGUUAUGUUUGCCACCUCGAUGUCGACUCAACAUUUCCUCUUGGUUGUAAAAGCUAAGAAGGGUUUGACUGUUCGUCAAUUAAAAUGUUACGUGAGUUGGGUUAAAUACGAUGUGAAUCAGUAUGGUUCCUAUCUGCUGAAGGAAAUAUUAUCAAAUUAAAUCUCAUUAUUAGUACGCAAGGACCAUAAUGAAUCAACCCAUGGUGUAUCUAUUGAUAAUAAUAUAAUAUAUUUAAUAAAAAUAAUACUUUAUUAAUAUAUUAUCUAUAUUAGUUUAUAUUUUAAUUAUAUAUUAUCAUAGUAGAUAAGCUAAGUUGAUAAUAAAUAAAUAUUGAAUACAUAUUAAAUAUGAAGUUGUUUUAAUAAGAUAAUUAAUCUGAUAAUUUUAUACUAAAAUUAAUAAUUAUAGGUUUUAUAUAUUAUUUAUAAAUAAAUAUAUUAUAAUAAUAAUAAUUAUUAUUAUUAAUAAAAAAUAU
rnacentral:rRNA from 1 species